rnacentral:rRNA from 1 species
CGCAUCUGUGCAUGCAGCAUAUCAAUAAGCGGAGGAAAAGAAACUAACAAGGAUUCCCCUAGUAACGGCGAGUGAAGCGGGAAGAGCUCAAAUUUGAAAUCUUAAAGGGUUUCCCUCUACGAAUUGUAGUUUAAAGAAGUGUUUUCUGUUGAGGUUUUGGUAAAAGUUCUUUGGAAUAGGACAUCAUAGAGGGUGAGAAUCCCGUAUUUGACCUUUACUUUCAACUUUGUGAUACACUUUCAAAGAGUCGGAUUGUUUGGGAAUGCAGUCCAAAAUGGGUGGUAAAUUCAUCUAAAGCUAAAUAUUGGCGAGAGACCGAUAGCGAACAAGUACCGUGAGGGAAAGAUGAAAAGAACUUUGAAAAGAGAGUUAAACAGUACGUGAAAUUGUCAAAAGGGAAGCGUUUGACACCAGUGUUGUUUUUCUGAAAAUCAAUUAAAGAACUGUUUAUGCUAAGCUGUUUAGACUUUAUCAGCUAACUGUUUAGUUUUGAGCUUUUCUUUAAUGCACUUUUCAGUUAACAAGUCAACAUCAAUUUCUUUUGCUGUAAAAAAGCUUGAGGAAGGUGGCUUGAGAUUCGUCUUAAGUGUUUAUAGCCUCUUGCCUAUGCAGUCGGAGAGAUUGAGGUCUGCAGCGUAGAUCCUUCGGGGCUAAAUGCAUUUGUGCUAAGUUAUAGCAUUUUAUAGACAACUUGUUGACUAUGAUUUGUCUUGUAGCUUACUCGCUUAUGUUAUUUUACCUACGCUUAGGAUGUUGAGUCAUCACACAUCUCU